AUUGAACGCUGGCGGAAUGCUUUACACAUGCAAGUCGAACGGCAGCACGGACUUCGGUCUGGUGGCGAGUGGCGAACGGGUGAGUAAUGUAUCGGAACGUGCCCAGUCGUGGGGGAUAACGUAGUGAAAAUUACGCUAAUACCGCAUACGAUCUAUGGAUGAAAGCGGGGGAUCGCAAGACCUCGCGCGAUUGGAGCGGCCGAUAUCAGAUUAGGUAGUUGGUGGGGGAAAGGCCCACCAAGCCAACGAUCUGUAGCUGGUCUGAGAGGACGACCAGCCACACUGGAACUGAGACACGGUCCAGACUCCUAAGGGAUGCAGCAGUGGGGAAUUUUGGACAAUGGGCGAAAGCCUGAUCCAGCCAUUCCGCGUGCAGGAUGAAGGCCCUCGGGUUGUAAACUGCUUUUGUACAGAACGAAAAGGUUUCUACUAAUACUAGGAGCUCAUGACGGUACUGUAAGAAUAAGCACCGGCUAACUACGUGCCAGCCGCCGCAGUAA
rnacentral:rRNA from 1 species